CCAUCGCCAUCAUGGCGCCCGGCGUGUUUGGAGUUCGGACAGAUCAGACUCUUCGUUGGCCUCGUUUUUAGGUGUUUGAUCCGUGACGUUUCGUCGAAAAAUCACAAGCGCGCAUGCCGUAGGUGUUUGCCUGGUUGCAAGAUCUUGCCGAUUUCAACGUUUUUCCACCUCUUCGGUUGGCGUACGCUGAGCUGGACCCUCGCAGCAAGAAUGGCACGUGGGAAUUGACACCGCGAUCGUGGAACACAUGGCUGAUCUGCCUCGAAUAACUGCAAGCCGGCGCGUGCGUAGUGCCGUGGAGAACGAUCAGAAGUCCUGGACGACAAAGAAAAAAACUUCAAAGCUGGUUCUAGUAGUGGUGCCCCUGGUGUGCACCUUUACCCCAAAUGUCUGCACCUUUGCCUACCGGUAAUGACAUAGAAAGUGCUCAGCUUCCUGGACAUAGGCAUGCAGGUUACGAGACGGAAAACGUGCAGCUUAGACUUAAUGCUUGUAAAUGCGAAAAUCGUAACUGACAUAAUUAGAGUAAGCUAAAAGGAGAAAUUUCUGCUUAUGAGCAAGUAAUUACGAAGCAGGUUUUACUCCUCUUAAACUAGCAGACAUGCAACAACACUGUUGUGCUAUGUUUGUUUUGUGCGCCAUUUUCAUGCAUAUUUGUGCUUGCAGUGGAUAUGCAUAUACAUGAAGGAUUUGUUUUUGUUUUCCUCAGCUGCCUCUGCGAACCCCGCUCCUGGACAACAGCUGGGAGGCUCUGUGUUUAAACGCGUGCACCUUAGACGUCAUGCUCGUAAAUACCAAUUCCUUUGUCAUUCCUGGCAUGAAUUUUGUUGGUAAAGCAAUAGGUAAAAUUGUGCAUUGUUGUUUACAAUCACUUCAGUAUGAACCAGGCUUAAAGGAGAAGGGACCGACAACUGGCCAGAACUUGUGAUUAGAUCCUGUCAGAAAUGAAAAUACCGCGCUAUAUGCUGACAUAUUCCAGCAUCCUUUUCGCGCUGUGAGUAGGAUUUAUAUCUCUAAAUUGUGUUUAAAAGUAACAAAAAAAUGUAUGUUGUGCAACCUAUCGCAAGAGCCUUGAAGCUAGAUUGCAGAGUUGAUCACUUUGCUGUACAAAGUCACGUAGUCUGAUACCGUCAUGUGUGCCAUUAUUGGUCCUAAAAAUAUUAGUAUGUAUAUUACUAUCCAUCCCCGCUCUAUUCUGUGCUGCUUAUGAGGUAAAAGGAGUUGCAUGGUGACAAGAAACGGCGCUGCCUUCGCGGUAGCCAGUGGACCAUGUCGAGCCGCAGCACAUGCGCGCGAGUACACACACACGCAGUAAACCGCCGCGCUCGAACACGAACCGCUGUCACGCUCACUGUUUGCAGCAUGCCUUGUUACGUGUGUAUACAACUUCAUAUCCGUCGCAGAUAGAAAAAUUCGAAUUACAAAUGUUUCACGGCAUUUUCCACAUCACCAUUCCUUGAUUAUACACUCUUGACUGGUAAGCUUUCUGUCGCGCUAAAGAAAAUAGGUAUCAUAAAAGUUGGUUGUCGGUCCCUUUAACCUCUUAACACACACAGGUCAAAAUAGGCAUGCUAUAUCCCCGUUGUGCACCAUCUUUGUGCGUUUGUGUGUGCAGUAUGGACAUGUACAUUAAGGCUUUGUUUUUGUUCUCAGCUGCCUCUGCGAGCCCUGCUGUUGGACGCCAGCUGGAAUGCUCUGCGUUUGAAAGCGUGCGCCCCAGAUGUCAUACUCAUAAAUACAGAGUUCUCAUGAUUCUAGUGUUGAAAAAGCAAUAAGUAAAAGCAGGCACUUGUGCAUCUGGAAUGAGGUUUAACCCUGUCUCAGGAGACAUAAGACAAUAUAGUCAUGCUAUGUUCCUGUUGUUCACCAUUUUCAUGCAUGUUGUGUGCAGUACGUAUACAUACAUGCAGGCUUUGUUUUUGUUGCCCUCAGCUGCCUCUGCAAGCCCUUUUGCUGGACGCCAUGGAAGGCCCUCCACUCGAAAGUGUGCACCUUAGACUACACGCUCAUCAAUACCAAGUUCUUUGUCCUUCUCGGCAUGAUUGUAGUGCCAUAUAAUAGUG